rnacentral:lncRNA from 1 species
UUGGAUUGGUUGAUGAAUGGGCUGCUCGAUUUUUUGAGGAGCUAGAUUAUGUUAAAGAGGGUGAAAAUGGAUCACUCUUUUCUGAAAUGAUGCGAAAGGACCUUCCACAGGUCAGUGGUAUUUUCUAAACUUGUAUCUUUAUUAUGUCUGGAGCAGUAACUCCUGAUUUUGGAGAACCCAGUCUGGUUAUAUCAUUCUGGUUAAAAGAAGUUUUUUUUCAUGUUAUUCUUUUUAAUUAGUUUCUUAAGAAUAUCAAGAGAAAUCAGUUUAUGGUCAAUUUUGUUUUUCAGGUUGUUAUACCAAGGACCUACCACAAAUAUACAUCAAGAAAGGUUCUUACUACAGAAUGGAUUGAAGGAGAGAAGCUAUCACAAAGUACAGAAAGUGAUGUUGGUGAACUGGUCAAUGUUGGAG